AAUGAACGCUGGCGGCGUGCCUAACACAUGCAAGUCGAACGAACGGACCAGAAGCUUGCUCUUCCGAGUUUAGCGGCGGUCGGGAGCGUAACACGUGGAUAACCUACCUAUGAGACUGGGGUAACUUCGGGAAACCGGAGCUAAUACGGGAUGAUAUUUUGAACCGCAUGGUUCAAAAGUCAAAGAAGGUCGUUCUGUCACUUAUAGAUGGAUCCGCGCUGCAUCAGCUAGUUGUUAAGGUGACGGAUUACCAACGCAACGAUGGAUAGCCGACCUGAGAGGGAGGUCGACCACACUGGAACUGAGACACGUUCCAGACUCCUACGGGGGGCCGCAGUAGGGAAUCUUCCGCAAGGGACGAAAGCCUAACGUAGCAACACCGCGUGAGUGGUGAAGGUCUUCGGAUCGUAAAACUCUGUUAGUAGGAAGAAACAUAUGUGUAUGUACCUGUGCACAUAUUGACGGUACCUAGACAGGAAGCCACGGCUAACUACGUG
rnacentral:rRNA from 1 species